rnacentral:rRNA from 1 species
UACGAAGGGUGCAAGCGUUACUCGGAAUUACUGGGCGUAAAGCGUGCGUAGGUGGUUUGUUAAGUCUGAUGUGAAAGCCCUGGGCUCAACCUGGGAAUUGCAUUGGAUACUGGCAGGCUAGAGUGCGGUAGAGGGUAGUGGAAUUCCCGGUGUAGCAGUGAAAUGCGUAGAGAUCGGGAGGAACACCAGUGGCGAAGGCGACUACCUGGACCAGCACUGACACUGAGGCACGAAAAGCGUGGGGGAGCAAACAGG